rnacentral:rRNA from 1 species
UGAGUAACCUGCCCUUAACUCUGGGAUAAGCCUGGGAAACUGGGUCUAAUACCGGAUAUGACUCCUCAUCGCAUGGUGGGGGGUGGAAGGCUUUAUUGUGGUUUUGGAUGGACUCGCGGCCUAUCAGCUUGUUGGUUAGGUAAUGGCUCACCAAGGCGACGACGGGUAGCCGGCCUGAGAGGGUGACCGGCCACACUGGGACUGAGACACGGCCCAGACUCCUACGGGAGGCAG